CCUACGGGCGGCUGCAGUGGGGAAUAUUGGACAAUGGGCGAAAGCCUGAUCCAGCCAUGCCGCGUGUGUGAAGAAGGCCUUCGGGUUGUAAAGCACUUUCAGUGGGGAAGAAAGCCUUGGGGCUAAUACCCUCGAGGAAGGACAUCACCCACAGAAGAAGCACCGGCUAAUUCCGUGCCAGCAGCCGCGGUAAUACGGAGGGUGCGAGCGUUAAUCGGAAUUACUGGGCGUAAAGCGCGCGUAGGCGGUCUGAUAAGCCGGUUGUGAAAGCCCCGGGCUCAACCUGGGAACGGCAUCCGGAACUGUCAGGCUAGAGUGCAGGAGAGGAAGGUAGAAUUCCCGGUGUAGCGGUGAAAUGCGUAGAGAUCGGGAGGAAUACCAGUGGCGAAGGCGGUCUUCUGGACUGACACUGACGCUGAGGUGCGAAAGCGUGGGUAGCAAACAGGAUUAGAUACCCCGGUAGUC
rnacentral:rRNA from 1 species